AGUUGGGAGCCUGACAGGCCU
rnacentral:miRNA from 1 species